GGGGCCAUAGCUCAGUGGUAGAGCACUUGCCUUGUAUGCAUGAGGCCUUAGCCCUC
rnacentral:tRNA from 1 species